CAGUAGCCGCGGUAAUACGGAGGGUGCAAGCGUUAAUCGGAAUUACUGGGCGUAAAGCGCACGCAGGCGGUCUGACAAGUCAGAUGUGAAAUCCCCGGGCUUAACCUGGGAACUGCAUUUGAAACUGUCAGGCUGGAGUCUUGUAGAGGGGGGUGGAAUUCCAGGUGUAGCGGUGAAAUGCGUAGAGAUCUGGAGGAAUACCGGUGGCGAAGGCGGCCCCCUGGACAAAGACUGACGCUCAGGUGCGAAAGCGUGGGGAGCAAACAGGAUUAGAUACCCUGUAGUCCCUGUCUCUUAUACA
rnacentral:rRNA from 1 species